rnacentral:misc_RNA from 1 species
UUCCAGAGAUUAUUUCAGAUCUGACCUUUAACAACUUGUUAGUAAUGAAAAAUAAGAAGUCCAUUGACACUCAUUGUGAGCGAGCAUAUACAGACAGAUCAUGGACAUUUUAGCGAGUCCAAUUUAGCUCAUGCAUUGUCCAAUUUCCUAAGAAGGUGCCAGGCCUAUUCACAUUCAAUGUACAACCACUAUAGCAGCAAUGGAUACAAUUAAAGUUUUCUCCAAACAUUCAAUAAGUACAAAAAGCAUGCCAAAAUAAGCCAUGUUGGGCACUAAAAUUUGUCACUAUCCAAAAUACAACACCCUGCCAAUAUCUCAGUUUCACACAGCACUAUACAUCUGCAACAAAGUACCCUGACAUUCUGAACACACAUCAUGGAGUUUGCACUUGUUAACAACUUCUGGCAAGAAUUAACUUGAUAUUGGGAAAUAAAAUUUUGAAAAUUGGUCAGCAAAUUCAAAAAUCAAUUAAUAACAGGAAUAUGAAAUAGUCAUAUAUGAGCUAUAUGAAGUUCUUAGAAGGAUAGCUUGAAAUAAUAAGUUUUCAAUGGAAUUCUUGAAGUAGGAAUCAAUGCUAAUACAUGUUAUACUGGAACUCGUUAAGUUUAAAGCAAUUCAAUGUCCUUAUGGUACAGCGAUGACUGAAGUACUUUAGUAUGGAUAAUCCCUCGUAAACCAUACCUUAAGAAUUCCAUUCUCUACUGU